rnacentral:pre_miRNA from 1 species
GGGUGGAUGAUGUCCACUCGGUUUGAUGUGAACUCUAUCAUCACCGGGUAAACAUUCAUCCAC